UGAGUAUUUUGACACCAAUUUCUCAAGCAAGUUUGAUAAAUUUGAUGAUCUCUGUCCACUAGUAUCUGUAAAACAGAAUUUUGAUGAUGUCUUGGUUCCUGCAUCAUGUAAGUAGGAGCUAUAAUGACACAUACUAUGUUGACUCUCAAACUGUCUUGAGGUGUCAUACGAGUGCGCAUCAGGCAGAGCUAUUAAGGGAGGGCCACACUCAUUUCCUAGUAACCGGAGAUGUCUACCGUAGAGAUUCUAUUGAUUCAACUCAUUACCCUGUUUUCCAUCAGAUGGAAGGUUUUCGUGUUUUCUCUCAAGAUGAAUGGGCGCCCUCUGGCUUGGAUGCCACAUCUUAUGCUGCUGAGGAUUUAAAGAAAUGUCUCGAGGGUUUGGCUAGGCAUUUAUUUGGUGCUGUGGAGAUGCGCUGGAUUGAUACUUAUUUUCCAUUCACCAAUCCUUCUUUUGAGUUAGAGAUAUAUUUUAAGGAGAACUGGUUAGAAGUCUUAGGUUGUGGUGUGACAGAGCAAGAAAUUUUAAGGAGAAAUGGCAGACCUGAUAAUGUCGCUUGGGCUUUUGGACUUGGAUUGGAGCGCCUGGCAAUGGUUCUGUUUGACAUACCUGAUAUACGGCUUUUCUGGUCAAAUGAUGAGCGCUUUAUUUCUCAGUUUUGUAGUGGCCAAUUGGGCAUCAAGUUUAAGCCAUUCUCAAAGUAUCCUCCCUGUUAUAAAGACAUGAGUUUUUGGAUCAAUGAAUCAUUCACUGAAAAUAAUUUAUGUGAAGUUAUCAGAGGAGUUGCUGGUGAUCUUGUCGAGGAGGUGAGCUUGAUAGAUAAUUUUACCAACAAGAAAGGAAUGACAAGUCACUGUUAUAGGAUAGCUUAUCGCUCUAUGGAACGUUCACUAACAGAUGAGGAAAUUAAUGAUUUGCAGUGGAAUGUGAGAGAACAAGUGCAGAACAAGCUAAAUCUUGUUUUAAGAUGAGACUUUCUUGGCAUCUCAAAAUGUGUAAAUUUCUUUGGUAAUACAGUUAGAGAUGACGAGCCUUUAUUUUGUGGCAAUUGUCAUUUUGUUUGAUAAAUCCAUGCUAUUAUUUUUGUUCUCCGUAAGGCAUCCU
rnacentral:misc_RNA from 1 species